rnacentral:rRNA from 1 species
GAUGAACGCUGGCGGCGUGCCUAAUACAUGCAAGUCGAGCGAACGGACGAGGAGCUUGCUUCUCUGAUGUUAGCGGCGGACGGGUGAGUAACACGUGGAUAACCUACCUAUAAGACUGGGAUAACUUCGGGAAACCGUAGCUAAUACCGGAUAAUAUUUUGAACCGCAUGGUUCAAUAGUGAAAGACGGUUUUGCUGUCACUUAUAGAUGGAUCCGCGCUGCAUUAGCUAGUUGGUAAGGUAACGGCUUACCAAGGCAACGAUGCAUAGCCGACCUGAGAGGGUGAUCGGCCACACUGGAACUGAGACACGGUCCAGACUCCUACGGGAGGCAGCAGUAGGGAAUCUUCCGCAAAGGGCGAAAGCCUGACGGAGCAACGCCGCGUGAGUGAUGAAGGUCUUCGGAUCGUAAAACUCUGUUAUUAGGGAAGAACAUAUGUGUAAGUAACUGUGCACGUCUUGACGGUACCUAAUCAGAAAGCCACGGCUAACUACGUG